UAUGUUUUUAAGUUUUAAAUAAUUAUAGGUUAAAUUUUAAUUGUUAUAAGUGUUUAAUUAUAAUUUUAAAUUUUGUUAAUCGAAUUAGAUUAGUACCUAAUUAGUCAAAAGUUAAAAGAGCAGAAGUAAAGUAGAAUUUAAACUGAAAGAAUAUUGGCAGAUUUUCUAAAUUAUCUUUGGAGGUUGAGUGAUAAUUGAGAACCCUCAUUAACUACUUUUUUAGUAGUCUCAUGUAUGAUCGUUUAUUAUAUGCUUAAGGCAUAUAAUUAAAAAUUUUUAUUUAUAAAAAUAGAUAUAUAUUUGGUUUAUAUAAAAGUAAUAUUUGACCUACAAUAAUUUGUAAUUGUGGAUCUACUUUUUAGCGGAGUAGUGAAAAUGUAAAAGACAGUAAAAAAAUUUUUAUGGUUUUUUGAAGAUUAUUUAGAAG
rnacentral:rRNA from 1 species